AGAGUUUGAUCCUGGCUCAGAACGAACGCUGGCGGCAGGCUUCAUACAUGCAAGUCGCGCGAUUAAAGCCCGCAAGGGUAUAUAGAGCGGCGAACGGGUGAGUAACAGGUGGAUAAUCUACCUUUCGGCGGGGGACAACGGCUGGAAACGGCCGCUAAUACCGCAUGUGGUUGCCAGAACCCUGGUUUCGGCAAAGAAAGGGGCUGCAAGGCCCCACCGAAAGAUGAGUCCGCCCCCCAUUAGCUAGUUGGCGGGAUAAUAGCCCACCAAGGCUUUGAUGGGUAGCCGAGCUGAGAGGUUGUUCGGCCACACUGGAACUGAGACACGGUCCAGACACCUACGGGUGGCAGCAGUAGGGAAUAUUGGACAAUGGGCGAAAGCCUGAUCCAGCCAUGCCGCGUGAGUGACGAAGGCCUUCGGGUCGUAAAACUCUUUUCUGAGGGAAGAACAUCCCGCGUAGGAAAUGACGCGGGCUUGACGGUACCUCAGGAAUAAGCAACGGCUAACUCCGUGCCAGCAGCCGCGGUAAUACGGAGGUUGCAAGCGUUGUUCGGAAUAACAGGGCGUAAAGGGAGCGCAGGCGGUUUGGUAAGUUCAAAGUGAAAGCCCGGGGCUUAACCUCGGAAGUGCUUUGGAUACUGCCUUACUCGAGUUCGUGAGAGGAAAGCGGAAUUCCAGGUGUAGCGGUGAAAUGCGUAGAUAUCUGGAGGAACACCGGUGGCGAAGGCGGCUUUCUGGCGCGAUACUGACGCUGAGGCUCGAAAGCAUGGGGAGCGAACAGGAUUAGAUACCCUGGUAGUCCAUGCCGUAAACGUUGUGCACUAGGUG
rnacentral:rRNA from 1 species